rnacentral:lncRNA from 1 species
AAAAGGUGGAGAAACGGUGUCAUCUAUUUAAAGUGGCCACCCUACCAAGGAGUCACGAGACUGUCCCAGGAUUGACCCCCAUGUGUGCGUUCAUGCACGCGUGCUAGCAGCCCAACCUGAAGGGAGCCACAUUGAAUGCUGGGCCUCAUUUCAAAAAACAUCCCUGGCAGCAAUCGCUUGGAGACGCCUGGUUCUCUUCUAGCACAGGUCUGUCUGCCUGCGAUUAGUCUAGCGAAAACAAAAUCCUUCCUGGCCUUCUGAAAAUACAAGAGAUUCUGCUGGUCCCACCCAUGCACCUCUUCCCUUCUGCAUGGCAUUGCCCUGACAUUGUAAAUUUAGAGAUGACGUCAAGGGUGCAAAACAUCAUCAGGGGAUAAUGGUCUCCUGCUGCUUGCCAAAUGUCAAGGUGAAGUCAAUGAAGUCAUUAAGGCUUGCAAAGGGUGGGUGGGGUUGGUUUCCCCACCUGGUUUCUCUCCUAAGCCUCCUGACGGAUCAGCUUUUGUGAGCCCAGGGGAACGUGUUGGCUGCUGCUGAAGGAUGAUGUUCCUAUUGACUCUUCCCCCACACACACACACACCAAGUACAUUUGGGAAGAGUAGCAACACAUGGUAAGCGUUGGGAAUGAACAAUCCGUCCAGCUUCGCACAUUUCUCUUUUCCUCCAGCUGGGAAAUGGGCCUCAUCCAGAAAUGAGAGAAGAAGAAGAAGAAGGAAAAGCCAGGAGUCAGUACUUGAAAAAAAAAGUUACUUGUUAAGACUACAACUCCCAGAUUCUGGGAUUUGUAGCCUGGGGGAAAAAAAAGGGCCUGUGUGAAGGACCUAGCCUGGGUCACCCUUCAAACCAGAUGAGGAUGUUAGCUCCACUCUGUCACUCAAGUGAGUACAGCCAGAAUAACAGUGAGUACAGCCAGAAUAACAGUGAGAGGAAAGUCUGAAGUGGGAAUUUGCAAACC